CCUCCUCCUGCCUUUUCCAGAUGCCCCAAGCAAUCCUGCCCCGCCCAGGGCCCCGCAGUACCCACCUUGCCUGACCAGCCCACGCUCCGAGGGCUUGGAGGCAUUGACACUGUGCAGCUGCUGCAGCAUGUCACUGAGGUGGCAGUCGACCACCUCACCUGUCUCUCGAACCACUGGUUCUUCUUUUUCCCGGGGACGCUCAGGCAGGGGGUUCUCCAAGCCUAGGAAGGUGACAAAAACAGGGGCGUUGGGAAGGGCACGGGACUCCCCUGCCACAGCUGAAACUCUUCCGAAAGAAAAAUUCUCUUAGCUACCACUGCUUUGGGGAAACUGAAUCAGUGCCUGGUUACUAGAGCAGCAGCUGCCAUGCUCAGGUGACAGGCACAUAGUGCUCACUGUGAGGCAACAGAUCUUCAGAAGCCGUGGCCUCUGACCCAACGGUGUGGCCCUGCAGGAUGACCUGCCACUCAGGCAAACAGCUUGAAGGCACCAGCAGCUCAGAGCUGCCCAGCUUUGAGCAAAGAAUGGAAAGCAUCUUCAGCAUCCAGGCAGAUGGAAGGGCUGAGUAGUUCAGUUCAUCCACAGAAUGGAUUCAGUAGGCAUUUAAAUAAAAACACAAGAAAUUUUUUUCCACCCCAAAA
rnacentral:lncRNA from 1 species